AGGCCACAAGCCCCUGUGGAUGGCUCCCAAGAAAACUCUCCACCUCUGCCUGUGAGACUAGGACCUGGCUCUGCACUCUAGGGCAAGGCCCUCCCUCCCCAGUGGCUCUACAUCAGCCACAGGAAGGGCCCACCCACAUACACAGACAGCCACACAGGGCAGCCAUCUUCUCAACUGACAAACUCACAGAGGCUAGCUCUCAGUGGUUCAUGAGGUGCCAGAGACACUGAGGUAACCGCCGUGGGCUCAGGAGCUGCUGUGUGCAUCCCUGGGCCUCCUCAAAAUUGGGCCCAGCUCUGUUGCCCGAUGCUGGGGGCUGAGAUGGUAUGCCAGCUACAUAAAUACUUUGGCUUCUAACCAAGGAGAGCUUCAGUCCCAGAGUCCUCCUUGCUUCCUCCCAAUCAUUGUUUUAGUGGUCCUGUGCUGUGGGACAUUAGGGUCCUGGCCUAAUUGUCGGCUGGUUCUGGCCUGGACCACUGAGUAUGUCUUUCUGAACUGGACUUUGAAGGCACUGGGAAUCAGCAUUGACUCUAUCCCCUGGUCACCUGGUUAAGGAGUUCCUACACCAGCAUGACCUGGGACCAACCUCUGGCUGCUCUGUCCGUUUGACCAGGAACCCAGGAGCCUUUCAAGCAUUGGCAGAUGUAGCAGCUGCUACACAGAGUUACCAGAAGCUCUGAAGCCUGGGAGCUUUUCUAGAACUCAUUUGGCUAUACACAUGACUUGGCUUGAAUUCAUAGACACCUCGGCUGACCACAAGGACAUGUCCUAUUAUCAUGUGGAGAUGUGGGCAGAUUUAAGCACCUGAACUCGGAGCACUAUGUGAGUCCCUCCAAGUGCGGUUCACCUCAGGCCCCACGAGUUCACAGUGGGAACAGUGGGACGGCAUUGCCAUCCUAGUCCUCAGGAUCACCACCCGUACAAUCGCUGCUAGUAGAGAAACCAGAGAGUCACCUAGGCCUGACAGCCUUCACUGUGGAUCCCACGUGUCAGGGCCCAACGCACCCUGGGAGUCAGGACUGGCCUUGCCUCUGUACAGCGUGGACUGCCCUUCUUCCUGGACUUCAGGAGCUCUCCUGCUCACCCAGGGGGACCCACUGACAUCACUCCACACCUCCAAAGUUCUCAAGGGGUCACCCCAAACCAGCUUCCGUGUCUUUCCAUCGGCAGGCGGGACACCAGUCUUCCUUUGUAAUAGCUUUGCUCGGCUCUCCCUCCCUCCCGAGUGUCUCCUAAGAGUGAAUGUUAAACCCUUUCCCUCUGCCACCUGAUAGCUGGGUCUUCACCACUUCACCUGGCUGGCAUUAACUUCUGAGUUUCUGCUUUCUGCAGAUUAAUAGAAAAGUAAAUUCUUUGUCCUCCCGCCUGGUCACACACAGUGUGACUCUGUGAAAGCAGUACAGACCCUUUAAAGCCAGUUUGAAGUAAGUGGCUUGAUUCCAGUGCCAUGGUUGGCCAGCUGUGCCACCCGGAGCCGGUCAAUUAACCUCCCUGAGCCCUGACUUGUUCAGAUGUCUGGAGUUAUAGGGACAGCCCGCUUGCUCUAGCAGCUCUAGCAGUGGGCCUCCCUGCUGGGAGGAAGAGCCUUUUUUUUUUCCAGAGGCCAUGAAGAGCCUGUGGAAUAGAGAUGGAGAUAGCUGCUGGGUUAGCUGCUUUCCCUCAUUGCUGUGAUUCCCGGCCAGAGCAACUUAAAGAAAGAAGGCCUGUCUGAGGCUCUCAGGUCGAGGGUAUAAUCCAUCAUGGCUGCUGGAGCACAAUGCAGCAUCAGCAUCAGGAGGCAGAGGGAACAUGUGACACUUAGCUGGCUUUCUCGGUUUUCACGCAGCCUGCAAGCGCAGCCCGUGGAAAGAUGUUGCCCUAGAUGAAGCUGGGUCUUCCUCCUCCGUUAGCCCAAUCCAAACCUCCCUCAUAGACA